UGAGGGAUAGAAGGCCUUUCGGGUUGUAAACCUCUUUCAGUAGGGAAGAAGCGAAAGUGACGGUACCUGCAGAAGAAGCGCCGGCUAACUACGUGCCAGCAGCCGCGGUAAUACGUAGGGCGCAAGCGUUGUCCGGAAUUAUUGGGCGUAAAGAGCUCGUAGGCGGUUUGUCGCGUCUGGUGUGAAAACUCAAGGCUCAACCUUGAGCUUGCAUCGGGUACGGGCAGACUAGAGUGUGGUAGGGGUGACUGGAAUUCCUGGUGUAGCGGUGGAAUGCGCAGAUAUCAGGAGGAACACCGAUGGCGAAGGCAGGUCACUGGGCCACUACUGACGCUGAGGAGCGAAAGCAUGGGGAGCGAACAGGAUUAGAUACCCUGGUAGUCCAUGCCGUAAACGUUGGGCACUAGGUGUGGGGCUCAUUCCACGAGUUCCGCGCCGCAGCUAACGCAUUAAGUGCCCCGCCUGGGGAGUACGGCCGCAAGGCUAAAACUCAAAGGAAUUGACGGGGGCCCGCACAAGCGGCGGAGCAUGCGGAUUAAUUCGAUGCAACGCGAAGAACCUUACCAAGGCUUGACAUACACCGGAAUCAUGCAGAGAUGUGUGCGUCUUC
rnacentral:rRNA from 1 species